CGCACAUUGCGCCCUGUGGUAUUCCGCAGGGCAUGCCUGUUCGAGCGUCAUUACACCCUCAAGCUUUGCUUGGUGUUGGGCGUCUGUCCCGCGUCUGCGGGACUCGCCUCGAAGACAUCGGCAGGGUCCGUCGGCUUUCCGCGCAGCACACGCGCAAGGACAACCGCGCGCGAUCGGCCUCCGUCAGGCUCCACCAUUUUGACCUCGGAUCAGGUAGGGAUACCCGCUGAACUUAA
rnacentral:misc_RNA from 1 species